UCUGGGAAGCCGGCGCGCGGGCCUCUGGGACGCCGCGCUCCGGCAGUGCGGGGCCGCCGUCCGGGCUGCCGCCUCCCGCCUCCUCGGGGUUCGCCGUCGCUGAGAUCCUCGCAGACACUCGGGCUCUUCAGAAAACAGAGCCGCUGGAGUCGUCUCCUCAGGCGCACCCGCGCCCGUCCUCCCCGGGGGCUUCCGGCCCUUCUAGCCCUUUAUACCAAUAAGCUUGGCCCAGGCUGGACUGAUUGAGGUUUUUUAAAAUAAUAGUAAAAAAAUGAAAAACCAAGCCACAGCAGUUAAUACGGUGCUUGCACUGAAGUGGGCAUGAAAACAUGGCGCGGAGAGGAGUGUGUGUCUCAAGCCGGUGUCCGCCUGGCCUUCCCCGGCGGCUUGGAGAGCGGGAUUUGGAAGACGAGAGGGCGAGAAAAAAGAGCUCGGAUUUUUCUUUUCAUUUCAUGGAUCCUUAACCCAUAUUUAAUGCAGACUUUGGAUUUUAGACACAGCAAGUGUGCUUGUAAUUAUUUCAAACAGUUAAAAAAGCUAGUUAAUGAUGUUCAACAUAAGUAAUCAUGUUAAAUAGUAAAAUUUAAUUUCUUAAAAACUUAAA